GAGGCCCGGAGAGCGCGCCGGGAGAGGGGUUGCAGCCCGUGCGAGUUUGGCUCCAGUGGCCAAAGCAGGGAAGGCGGCCUCGGGGACCUUCUGGGAGCAGAGUCCAGCCAAGGGUUUCCCUCUCUUUCCGCUUCAAGCCCAAGACAGCAGAGCAGUUUGGAACCCGAAGGACUAUAUGGUCCUUUCCCCCUCCCCCACCACUUUUUUCCCCCCUAGAAGAACUUCAAGAUUACAAAUAUCCGUCUCAUUUGAUGCUGAAUUACUCGUGGACAGAUAAGAAAAGUGCUUUUGAUAUCAACAACCUGAGGCAAGUGAAGUGGAAGUUUCUGGAUAUGUCAGGUGAUGCAGAUUCGACUCACAUGGUCUUUUGCUGAUACAGACUCAUUUGCCAUCUGAGGCAAGACCCCUGGGAGGACACAUGAUGCUUGGAGAGAGUAUAAAUAGGACUCAACGUGUAGUGAUGGAGUGCUUGCAUAGCUAGCUUUGCAAUGCUUUCAUGGCCUCAGUCUUCCUCUUCACUUCAUGGAGAUUGGCAUGUCAGAUAACUUCUCCUGUUGUCCCAUCUGGACCUGGUUACUCCUGCUGACUCCUGACAAUUUGGUGGAGGCCUGGCAGUUUCUGCUGGACCGUGCCACUGCUACUGAUUCAUGUUUGGUAUCCUGACACUACUGAACUGGACUGCUGGUAUCCUACAAGGGAGAUUGGAACUGCCUCAAAGAACUACUUCUAAACAGGUCCACAUCCCUGUGUCCUUUUUACCAUCUCUUCUCCCCUACCUUUAGGCAGUGGGCUAGAUGGGGGGGGGUGUUGAAGCAUUUGUAAGCCCUUACUAAAAGUUGUUUUCUUAAAAAAAAAUUUAUGCCUACAGGCAAAAAAUCCUGAAAAUAUCUGACAUUUCAGGGCAACUUCUGUUGUUUCUUCAACACUCUCUUUACUUUGUCCUUCUAGUUUUCUGAGCCUAGGGUUGGCAUCAAUGGUUUAAGAAUUCUACAGUAGAUGAUAUGCCUUCUUUAUUAGCAUGGCCAGAAUGGGUCAAGGUUGGUUUGGCUGUUGAUUCCUAGGGUCCCAGUGGGAUGGUUGCAAAUCAAGCCUAUUCUCAUAAUUAUCUUUCUGGGCUCAGGUAACCAUGUCCUCCUCUGUCUUUGGUGCACUGCACUUCCCCUUGUGACUUACUUAAAACCCUGCUCACACCUUUUACCUCUAGUUCUAUUCUUUAUUAAAUUCUCAAAUUACCCAGUUUUGAUCUUGUACCAUCUGCUUACUCCUGGACUCUGGUACCAUGCUGCAUUUGGAGGACUUACACUAAGUGAGCUAAUGCAUGCAAUACACACACACACACACACACACACACACACACACACACACACACAUACUCCCUUGCAUUUAGCAAAAGUUUAAUAAGUAAGACACUAUGUUAUUUUACAAUCAUUAUUUGGUACAACUUUCUUAUUUUAUAUGUGAAGAAAUUAAGCCCCAGAGCAGGUAAUUAAUGCAUUCUAGUCCUAAUUAAUUUGAAAGAGUAACAACCCAGGGACUAAAUCUCUGGACUGUGGCCCCAACAUCACUGUUCCUUACAUAAUGUCUUGUUGAGUAAUACAUGUGUGUGUGUGUGGGGGGGGUCUUUUCUUUGUAGGUGCAGGGAAAGGAGGAGAUGAACUAGGAUCAGAGGCACAUGAGACAACACCUUACAACUACUGGUAGCUUUGCUUCUACUAAAUUACUGCUGAAAUAAAGUACGUCUUGGCAGUAUAGAACCCAGUGAUUUCACAAUGGAUAGAACAGGUAUGCAACAAGGCAAGAGAUGCAUGCUUGACAGGUUAAAAACAAAUUUACGAGCACAAAUUGGAAGUUUUACAAGGGAGCAUAGUAAUGUGUUCCAGACAUAUAAGAUACAGCAGCAUUAAUUUUCCAAUAAAGGCUGAAUUAGCAGCAUGGGUUACAUACAAAUCUCAUAAUUCUUUAGAGCACAAUGAUGUGCUAUGAACGACUCUAAGGAACAUAGCACCAAAUCCUAGCCCACAGACACAGGGCAAUUUAAUCACACUAAUAAGGUGACAGGAAUUAUUUACUCAUUUAUUCCUAUUUUAAUGCAACUAUUCAAAGAAAUGCUGAGUUUCCUUGUUCUUCAAGAACACUUAUAGGUGUUGACAUAUGAAGAGUGAUUAAAUGCAUUUGGAUUCAACAGGCUCAUAAAGGGAAAUAGAGGUAGGUAUAUAGGCAGACUCUGGAAAGAAGCAAGGUAGAAAUCCACCAAGACAGCUAUGAGAACACUGAAGAGGCUACGUAGGGAAAAUGAGAGUGAAGGAGAGAAAAUGAGAGUGAAGGAGACUUCAUGGGAAAGAUCUAAGUAAAGAGCAGUACCUCUCCACCCAACUAUAAUUUAGUCUUCUAAAUCCUUCAAAAAUUAUCAGUGAUAUUAACUUAUUAAUAUUUAGCUUUUUACUAACCUAGGUAUUAGUAAUAAAAUAAAAGUGUAAUAUUGCAAUUUUACUCUACUGUAGCAGGUUGGCUGGGGUAUAUGUGGAACUGAGAAAAAUUUAAAUAAUGUUUCCCUUGGUGACUAGAGUGUAUAAUAGGAAAACUGGGCUAAAUUUAAAAGGUGAUAUUAUACACAGACUCCGUGGAAAAUGUCACCUUACAAAAAGAUUGCAUUAGCGUACUAUACCAAUUAGGUCUUAUUUAUAUAGUAAGUUGGGCUAAGCUCAGCACAGAUAUAAAGAUAUAGCUUAAAAAAUGAUUCGGAACUCAUGCCUGGAGGAGAAUUAUAAAACAAGACUGUUUAUUUCUGAAUCCAGGAUGCAUUCAUACACAAUUAUACAUGUUAAUAAAAAUAACGCAAUCUGAAUCAGUUCUUUCUCCAUACUCUUUACAAAAUAGAUCACUUCCAUCUCAGCUGUGAUUGAUGGCUAAGUCUGACUUGCUUUGCCUUUACAGUGCUGCCAAACUGGAGUGGUUUUCCACAGAUGUGAUAGAACCCUGGUAAGUACUCACUUCUGCUGCUUGUGUCCACUGGACUUAAUUGUCUCAGCUUGCUCCUCUGGUUUUCCCCAUCCUACAUCUCAAAAGCCAUCUUUAGUCAUUAAUUGCACAUUAAUUAAGUAUGCAUAUAUGUCCAUAUGUAUUAUGCAUGUGCUCUUCUAUUUUAGCUACAGACAAUUAUCUCUACAACCUGGAACUUAAAUUAUCUUUUAGUUUCUCAAGUGUAAAGAGUUGAGUUUUUCUUUCUCCUAAUCUAUCGUGUAUGUUCUCAGCCCGUCUUACAGCUUACUAUUCUUUCAAGCAUUGUGACUUAUUGUGUCUUUUUUUUUAUUAGUUUCUGCCAAUUCAUAAGACAUAGUUGAUUUGCUUGUCUUCUACCCAAUGAAGCACUAAGAAGCAUAUCUCCUACUGUAUGUAAUUAUAUUUUCUUUUAUUAAAAAAGUUAAAUGA
ensembl:lincRNA G630016G05Rik RIKEN cDNA G630016G05 gene